CCUACGGGAGGCAGCAGUGGGGAAUAUUGGACAAUGGGGGAAACCCUGAUCCAGCCAUGCCGCGUGUGUGAAGAAGGCUUUCGGGUUGUAAAGCACUUUCAGUGAGGAGGAAAAGUUAGUCCUUAAUACGGGCUAGCCUUGACGUUACUCACAGAAGAAGCACCGGCUAACUCCGUGCCAGCAGCCGCGGUAAUACGGAGGGUGCAAGCGUUAAUCGGAAUUACUGGGCGUAAAGCGCGCGUAGGUGGUUUGAUAAGCGAGAUGUGAAAGCCCCGGGCUUAACCUGGGAACGGCAUUUCGAACUGUCAGGCUAGAGUAUGGUAGAGGGUAGUGGAAUUUCCUGUGUAGCGGUGAAAUGCGUAGAUAUAGGAAGGAACACCAGUGGCGAAGGCGGCUACCUGGACCAAUACUGACACUGAGGUGCGAAAGCGUGGGGAGCA
rnacentral:rRNA from 1 species